GAUGAAGAACGUAGCGAAAUGCGAUAAGUAAUGUGAAUUGCAGAAUUCAGUGAAUCAUCGAGUCUUUGAACGCACAUUGCGCCCCCUGGUAUUCCGGGGGGCAUGCCUGUCCGAGCGUCAUUGCUGCCCCCAAGCACGGCUUGUGUGUUGGGCCGUCGUCCCCCUCCUAGGGGACGGGCCCGAAAGGCAGCGGCGGCACCGCGUCCGGUCCUCGAGCGUAUGGGGCUUCGUCACCCGCUCCGUAGGCCCGGCCGGCGCUUGCCGACGACCAUCAAUCUCUUUCUCCAGGUUGACCUCGGAUCAGGUAGGGAUACCCGCUGAACUUAAGCAUAUCAAUAAGCGGAGGA
rnacentral:misc_RNA from 1 species